CCCCUGGCCCAAAAUUGUCGGCCUGCCUUAUAUUCAUGGAUGGAAAUGUAUCAUGCUUGUCCGGCUACCCUUUUAGUAGAUUCAAGUUGUAAAGGAACAGAUGUUUGUGGAGACCGUAAUACGGGCAAGGGGCUACACCUGUGGGAACCUGGAAGAUUCCGUCCUAGACGGCAAAGGCGGUGUCAGCAAGAGGUCAGCGCGGGCCCCCACACCCCACCACCGCUCGGGAGCCCGGUGCACCUGCCCGCCCCUCCCUCUCCUCCUCUGUCCCAUGCAGACAACAAUAACACGGACCUCAUAGCAAGGGUUCGUUCUGGAAUGAUCCGGUCAGUCUUUGCUGAGGACCUACUGCGUGCCAGGCGCUUUCCCAGACCCCGGAGGCCCCCGCCCACACCGUCCCGGAGCUGCCGCUCCCGUAGGAGACACGGGCCCGAAGCAAAUCCGGUCACUUCGGAUGGUGAUCGCCCUGCGGCCCAAAUGGAACAGGGUCCUGCAGGGAAGGGAAGGGUGGCCUGGGAGGGGUUAGGGAGGUCUUCGGGUCGGCUUGCUGUCUGAGCCGGGACAGGUGAGCUUGGGGGACACUGGUGAGAAAAAGAGCCGGCCAGGGAAAGGUCCAGAAGAGAGAGAGAGAGAGAGAGAGAGAGAGAGAGAGAGGCCACACAGAAGAAAUGGUCACUCCCCCUGUGAAAUGAGAGGCCGCACCCUGAAACGGGCGGGGGUGAGAGGGAGACGGUGGGAAGCAGAAGGUGAAGGUGGAAAGGGCGGCAGGGCCAGGCCCAUGGGCCCUCGGAACCGUGGAAGGAACUUGCACUUCAGCCCACGAGCAAGGAGAAGUCAUUGGUGAGACCUGGGCGGCAGGUAAGGUGGCCUGAGUGGUGACCGGAGGCUGCCUGGCGAUUCUCGUGGUCGGGGGACAGUUUCCACCUGUAGCUCACGCGGCUUGGGUACCUGAGGUAAGUGGGUCAUGAUCCACACGGCUUCGGGCUUCGAAUUAUCACCGUGUGUGUGGGGGAGGGGGGGGCGGGUCAGACCCCACCAGAGACCUGCGCCCGCAAUGGAGCAUUGGGCACCGCAGUGGCCACCUGGGCCAGCUCAGUGGCCGCCAGGGAGCGCUCCCCAUGCAGGCACUCAGCAGGGUGUGCACUUAUGUCCCCGAUGGCCCAGCACUGAUAGGUCCCCUGGCCCUGCAGCCCUUCCCCUCACACAUGCAGCUUCCUUCCCAGUGACGCACUGGCUGCCCUCCUAGCUGCUGCCACUGCACCCACACUUCAGCCAGAAAAUGGGGGACUGAGACAGGGGAGAGGACACUGUUUCCUUUCAGAGUCACCAUCUGGAAGUCCAUACGUCCUUCCCACUCCUUUCCAUUGGACCAGAACCUACUCUCAGGGCCACACCUGGCUCCAAGGGAAGCCGGGAAAGGCAAGGGAACCGGAGUUGUCGUCAAGGCAUUGACAUGCUGGCUGUGCCCAUGACUUCCUGUGUGACCUGAAAUCACUCCCACCCUCCGGUCCUCGGUUCCCGGUCUGUGACAGGGGGCGUGGGCCCUGCUCUGCAUCGGGCAAGGCCUGGGACAGGGCUGCUCCCGCACCGCCGGCUCAGGCAGACCUCACGGAUCACCCACAGCCUGGCUCUCUUAGCUCCAAGACAAUCCGCAUGGUACCAGGGCUGGACCAGAAGAUGAGACCUUAUGGGCUACCCCCAAGUGAGUUGAAUUCGGCUUCUGGGCACCUAUGGAGGACGCCUCCAUCUCUGUGUUGCCUAGGAGCCGCCUGGGAAAGGUUUGGAGAGCCUCGCGGAACUGCCGUCUCCCACAGGGAAACAGAACUGAGACUUUCAAGAGCUGGUGGCAAAGGAAGAGCCCCCAGCUGGGGUGGAGGGUGAGCUGUGGCAGCUGCAGCUCCUGGGUCAGAAGGUCACGCUGGCCCUGGAGUGAGGGGAGCGGGUGCCACCGCCCAGGACUGCUGUCCCCACCGUGGGCACAAGCCCGUCCCUGAACCCCUCACAGGUGAGGCAGGAGACAUCACCAAAGAGGGAACCAUGGACGAAGGCUGCCUGGCUUGUUCGGUUUGGUACGUUCUCCUGUUAGGCAGCCCCUCUGACCGGGGCCGGGGGCCUGGGACCCUGCUGGCUCCUCACCCCCCAGAAGCACUUCUGCGGGCCUGGUCAGAGCUCCCGGAGGUCAGAGCAAGGCCAAGGGCAGGCGGGAGCCCCAGUGCCACUCCUCCUGCCUCUCGGGGUCUUCCUGCCCGUGCCAGUGUCUCCCUGGGCGAGUCACCUGAGAGCGUCCCCCUCUUGCAAGAGGCCCGACACACCACAGGGCCUGAUGGACGUGAAAACCCGUGCGCUUAACACAGAGACUCUUUCACAACAGGAAUGGUCUCAUGUUGGAAGCUGCGUUUAAAGAAGCUGCCGUGCUCGGCCCGGCCAGGUUGGCUCAGUGGAUGGAGCGUUGGCCUGCGGACUG